rnacentral:misc_RNA from 1 species
GAUUGACCUUCAAAACACCCUGCAUAACACAGAUUAUUAACAUAAGCAAUCAAGCAUAACAAUAUACAUAUUUUCUCCCUUAACUGUAAAUCCUAACUUCACCUUUACAGACUAUGGUUCAACAGGUUAAUAGCAGAGAAUUCAGGAAAUAUCUGAAAAGUAUAAGACAUGGGGGUCAAACCCAAAACCUCGCACUGAGAGAGAGUUAACUAAACCAUCAACCAAGCCACACCAUUGAUUAGAAUAUCUUGGCUCUGCAUUUUUCAUAUUUAUAGAAAAAGUCUCACAAAAGCAACUAAUUUCAAUAUCUAAAAUAUGAUUAAUAUUAUGUUGAUUACGACCCCAGUUAAUCCUAAUUAAACCUCCAAGCCUGACCCUCAUUCCUCUACUUUCUUCAAUUCAAUAAUCAAGACAGUUUUGGAAACAGUGUUUAUUAGUCUAAGUCCUAAUCCAUGUGUAUAGAAAUUUAUUGUCAAGUGUAAAAUUCCAAAAAAAAGAAUGAAAUAAUUCAGUUCCAUUCAUGUCCAUUUACGUGGAAUCAGUCCAGAAUUUCUUACAAUUGAUCUUUUUAAGAUCUGGCCAAAAUGGUCAACUCUUCCCACAUUUAUUCCCAUCCUAAAAUCCUAUCCAUUUAUCUUAAAUUCCUAUGCUACAGCAAUGCAGCAUCUGCAACAAAAACAGCAGACUUCAUAAAGUAAAUAAAAGGUUCCCAAGGCCCACCAAAAUCCAUUACCAUUAGCAAAUAUCUAUAAAAAAUCAUUGCACUUCUAUAAGUCAUCUAAGACUCUUCCUUAUUUGAUCAGGGCACAAACCAGAAGGAAAAGCGAUUUGAGAUGACUUAAAAGGCUAGAGAAAACAUUUCCAUGCACAGUUGUGCAAAACAUGCACAACCAUGCACUUCUGCUGCAAAUGAAUACACUAAUGAAAGCAU